rnacentral:rRNA from 1 species
AAUCAACGCUGGCGGCGUGCCUAACACAUGCAAGUCGAACGCGAGAGGGGCUUCGGCCCCGAUUGAGUGGCGAACGGGUGAGUAACGCGUGGGUGACCUACCUUCGAGUGGGGGAGUAACGUCCCGAAGGGACGCUAAUACCGCAUAACAUCCUGCCUUUGAAUGGGUGGGAGAUCAAAGCCGGGGAUCGCAAGACCUGGCGCUUGAUGAGGGGCCCGCGUCUGAUUAGCAGUUGGUGAGGUAACGGCCCACCAAGGCAACGAUCAGUAUCCGGCCUGAGAGGGCGGACGGACACACUGGGACGUGAGACACGGCCCAGACUCCUACGGGAGGCAGCAGUGGGGAAUUGUUCGCAAUGGGCGCAAGCCUGACGACGCAACGCCGCGUGGAGGAUGAAGGU